ACCGAAUAUAAACUGAAUUCAGUUCAAAACUCCCAGUGAAAUUGCCUUUCGGGCGGCCACAAUUUCAUCAAUCCGGCCCAAAUUGAUGGGAUCCUGGAGAUUUUUUUUCAGCACCAUGACAAACGAUGAAGUUGACCAAAAGUCAGUGACAGUCAGAAUUCCUCGAGAAAAAUGAAAUAAACACACCCUUCGUAUUUCCGGCGCGUCGAGACACGAGAUAUAAAUAGACUCAGGGCGUGUACUGAAAUUUUCACGACGUCCCUGGGAUGCAAUUUAACCGUUAGAAAACCGCAGUUGGAGGAGGAUGCAAGGCCAAUAACCGGAGGGACUCUGCCAGACCGAAUCCCCAUGGAGAACAAAAACAUCUGCCUCUUUAGAUCUCUCGUGAUUCUUUUGAAAAUCCUCGUCUACUUUGUUUUUUUUAGUUUAGAAAAUGCAACUUCAUGCAAUUAAACCGGGGGGGAUUUGUCGCAAGGUUUUUUCUUUUUUUUUAGCCCAGAUCGACUGUCUUGGGAUGCAGGCGGGGGUUGAAUAUUGCUGUUUACUUCGUGGAACGAAGCAUCAAUUGAAUUUAGUUUAUCGGGGAGUGACGUCACUCCGGCACCGAGCGAAUACCAUUUAUGGCGGUGAGGUCAUGCCGAUGAAGGAUUUCUUCGGGUUUUCUUGGUGAUACCCACGCGACGACAAUCGCUCUAUUUAGGUUUUUUCAAGUCUAGGGGAUUUAUUUUGAAGCAGAGGCACUUGUAGAGGACAAUUUACAAUGAAAAAGUAUAUUUCAGUUUCGAAUGUCAAAAUUUACUGUUAAUCACAUUCAAAAUUCGAUCGAGAUCCACGAAAUGUUUAUUUUUUUGGCAGUCCUCAAUUCAUGCUCAUAUUGUUAUGUUGAAUAACAACAAGUUUUGACAGAAACCGACAAGACGUUUCCGAUGAAACUUAUUGAUAAAAAUUGUCGUCAUUCGUCAUGAAGUUUUUCGUUUAUUUGUUUUAUUUCAUUCAAAUGUCCCCAUGAAUUAAUCGAUCGUUAAAGUCCCAGAAACGUUGGAAACCUCGUUAAAAUGUUUUUCUCGAAACGAUGUCAAUGACAUUAAAGUCAAAUUAAAAUUCACUUUCAAACGAAUGACAUUUUUCAAUCUUUCCGGUAUGACAUCGAAUUAAAGCUCUGUUUCAAUUGGAAAAUGAUAAAAAGAUAAAAUAAAAUGUGAAAAGAUGUUCUAUGAAAAAACUCCAAGUCUUUUUCCUAAUUUUAAUUAUUUAAUUACCACCUAUUGAUUUUGUUAAAUAACAUUGGCUGCAGUCUACUUCUGCAGUUUCGACUCGCCCGUGUCUUUCUUGCCCAAACAGUCUCAUUAAUUGCCGGCCGUGGCUAUUCACGUAUGGCAAAAACGAGUUUCGAUAGGUGCAGCAAGAAUCCGCCAAAUAAGGCAAGAGAAACCAUGACGAAAUCGCUGAAGGAGAGUAGGCCGAGGGAUCAUUCGCCCACGACGAGAGGAAACCGUGUCUAAAUGACGUCUAAUGGAGGAUGUGUACUGGAGACAAAAGCAUUGUUUGUACUCAAUUGCUGGUUUAGAAUCUGAUCUGAUGGUUCGUCCAGACACCCGCCCACAAUGAGGUUUCCGAGCGAUGGGGACACGCGUGGAAAUUCCAGAAUACAUCAGACAACAUUUUAAAUAAGAGGAUGUUCGUAAGAAAAAUUACCUGAAAACGGCAACCGCUGGAAUCCACAAAACUGAAGCACUAAUCAGCACAGC